rnacentral:rRNA from 1 species
AAAGGUGAAAUUAAUUAUAUUAUUUAUAGUAAAAAUUUAAGUAGAAGCUAGGAAGUCUUAAGGAUAAACUAGGAUUAGAUACCCUACUAUAUUAAGAUUAAAUUAAAUGUACUUGAUUAUUAAUAGUUAUUUUCUAAAAAUUUAAAGAAUUUGGCGGUGAUUUAGACUUAUUAGAGGAACCUGUUUUUUAAUUGAUACACCACGUAAUAUCUUACUUGAGUUUGUAUACCAUCAUUACAGAUAAUUUUUAAAAAAAUAAUUAUUAAAAUUAAUAAUUACGAUUAAAUAAAUUAGAUCAAGGUGCAGCUAAUAAAUAAGUUAAAAUGGGUUACAAUAAAAUUUAUUUAUUAUGGAUAUAUUUAUAUGGAAGGAGGAUUUAAUUGUAUAUAAGUUUAAUAAGCUUAAAUGAUAUAGGCUCUAAAUCAUGUACAUAUCGCCCGUCGCUUUC